UACAGAGGUCUCAAGCGUUGUUCGGAUUCAUUGGGCGUAAAGGGUGCGUAGGCGGCGCGGUAAGUCGGGUGUGAAAUCUCGGGGCUUAACUCCGAAACUGCAUUCGAUACUGCGGUGCUUGAGGACUGGAGAGGAGACUGGAAUUCACGGUGUAGCAGUGAAAUGCGUAGAGAUCAUGAGGAAGACCAGUGGCGAAGGCGGGUCUCUGGACAGUUCCUGACACUGAGGCACGAAGGCCAGGGGAGCAAACGGG
rnacentral:rRNA from 1 species